rnacentral:rRNA from 1 species
GACGAACGCUGGCGGCGUGCUUAACACAUGCAAGUCGAACGAUGAACCCGGAGCUUGCUCCGGUGGAUUAGUGGCGAACGGGUAAGUAACACGUGAGUAACCUGCCCUUGACUCUGGGAUAACUGCGGGAAACUGUAGCUAAUACCGGAUACGACCCUCGGCGGCAUUGCCAGGGGGUGGAAAGAAUUUCGGUCAAGGAUGGACUCGCGGCCUAUCAGCUAGUUGGUGAGGUAAUGGCUCACCAAGGCGACGACGGGUAGCCGGCCUGAGAGGGUGACCGGCCACACUGGGACUGAGACACGGCCCAGACUCCUACGGGAGGCAGCAGUGGGGAAUAUUGCACAAUGGGCGCAAGCCUGAUGCAGCAACGCCGCGUGAGGGAUGACGGCCUUCGGGUUGUAAACCUCUUUUAGUAGGGAAGAAGCGAAAGUGACGGUACCUGCAGAAAAAGCACCGGCUAACUACGUGCCAGCAGCCGCCGUAA